ACGGAAAAACACCACGGUGCAAGAUUAACUUCCUUCAGCACGGUUGACAUGCUGGGAGUGCUGCUUCUGUGUCUUCUCAUCUCGGCUCCAACUGCUGCCCAAGAGAAAGAGCUCUUCACCCUGACCUACCCAAAGGGUCCAGUCUCAGCUCCUCUGGGCAGUUCUGUGGUUCUGGGCUGCGUGGCG